rnacentral:tRNA from 1 species
GCCCGGGUGGUGGAAUUGGUAGACACGAGGGACUUAAAAUCCCUUGGCCUUGCGGCCGUGCGGGUUCAAGUCCCGCCCCGGGUA